rnacentral:snRNA from 1 species
AUAUGUGCUACUGAACAGUCGG